rnacentral:misc_RNA from 1 species
CUGGAGAGCGAAAAAGAAACUAUAGAGAGGAAGCCUUUCAUGGAAAUACAAAGUGAGACCAAGAGAUUCAGGCAAGAUGUUUUCAAGAGAAGGCACAGAGCUAGAGCUCUUAAAAACCAGGGUCUAUGAGUCUCUCUCGGCCUAGAGGAUUGGGAAGAAAUGGAUUACAGGAACAAAAUUAUUUAUUUAAAAAGUUCACAAACAUCAUACCAUAUGUAUAGUUGUGCUUCUAAUGCUAACGGUGGCUGUUGGAAUCUCAUUUUAUGGUUUUUCUAUUGUCAUGCCAUCUGAGGCAUCUGG